UUUAAUCAAGGGGACAUUCCCAGCUCAGGCAUUUCAUACCUACCUUCGCUGUUUAACCACUCUGCUAGAAAUCACGAGCCACAGUAAACAUGGGCCCACUCUGUGGGGUGGAAAUUCUUUUCAAACACCCCUAAGAUUACUUUUGAGUUUUGUCAACCGUACACACUGGCCAUUACUGUAACCAGCCUGACUGGAGGAAAAAUCAGUUGGUGGUUCUCAAAAGCCGAUUGUUUUCAAUUUCUAUCUGGAUUAAAGAGUCCCCAAAUUAGACCAUGAAGGAUUUACUAAGAGGGUGAACCCCCCGCCCUGGUCUUUAUAAACACCUGCCACUUGUGGGACUCCUCAUGUUAAUCUCAUAUCUGUGCCGUCUCUAAUCCCAGUCUAUGGGAAACCGUUAUCUUUUUCGGCCACUAGAGGGAGACAUCUCAAUGACAAUGGAUAUACAUGGAUUUCAUAUUUCCUCUGACAGAAAGGCAAUAUUACUGUUCAAUUGGCUGUUGAAUAUCUGAUAAAGACGGACUUUAUAAUAAAUGCCUGUUAAUAUAUUGGUUCUUAAAAUGUAUGCAUAUUUCAGUCAUGUCGUGUUUUAAAGAUUCGGUCGAGACCAGCAAAUAUUAGAACAAUGGAUGUCCCUGGAAAUUGCUGUACUUGCUGUUAGUGUCCACUAGAGGGAAGAAUAUAUAUUUUCUUCAGUAUAUAAUUAUGUAGGGUUAGGGUUAUAAUAUAGGCAAAUGUAUAACUUGGAGUGGUUAAUUCACCCCCCUGUGAUUUGAUUUGCUUUUGAUUGACAGGUGUCAAAUUCAAGGCGUUCAAAGAGCUCAUUUGACAGUAUGUUAACUGAUGAGUACGGCUGUGUUUGUGUUUAUAUGUUGGCUUUGUCACCAGGAUGCAGGUGCGCUGCAGUCACACCUGCACUCCUCCAUCCCUCCCAGCUGUAGGCGUGGCUCAGAGGGAGAGGAACCAGGGACUCUUGCCCUAGAGAGUCGUCACCUGGCCACCAGUCCAAGAUCCCAGCGUGGGCUACCGUGGGCCUGGACAUCCCCCAGGAAGAGCUUGCAGCCUUCCUGAAGAGCCAGACAGAGGCCAAAGCACCAGCUCUGGCCCAGGUGGUGGAUCUCCUCUCCCAGGUCUGGGCUCCGCUCUUCGCGGUCACCCUUGUGGCCGUCGCCGUCUACGACGCUUACAGAAGCUUCCGGGAGAGGAAGGGCCGUGAGGAGGAGAAGGCCCUGUCAGACCAGCUGAGGAGGGGUGUGGCUCUGAGGAGCCGGCUGGAGGACAUGGCCCUCAGGCUGCAGGCGUUGGAGGAGGCCAGCAGAGCCGUGAGGGCCCAGGGCAUCAGGGGCCUCUGUCCCCGCCAGGGGGGCCCCGCACUGCCCACCUCGCUGUCUGGGGAGGGGAGGGUAGACAGCGACCCGUUUACUGCUGCUGAUGGCCUGUAGGGUCUGCCUGAGGGAGGAUGUGCUCCCGAGAGAGGACGUGCUCCAUUGGGAAGCGUAGGACAUACUUCAAAAACAAAAAAAAUAUGUUCGGAUUUUGCUAUGUGUUUUUGUUCAAUACAUUUAGUUUGAGAGAAAAGUGAUUGAGUCAUUAUUUGGAGAGUUUGGGUUGUAUGUCUUGUCUGUGAGGAAAUGUUUCAAGUUUAAUGUUGGAAUCUGCAGUAUUAAGUGGGGCAACAUUUUAAACAUUUCACACGAAUGGGGAUAAAUAAAUAAAAUCUGGUUUCCUAGCAUCAUGACCUCAACAUUCUAUUUCAACACAAAAUGUAUCCUGAGGAAAUGUACAAUUCAACAUUCAACCAACAUGUUUCUCUCAAUCCACCUCUUGA